UGAGGAAUAUUGGACAAUGGGCGCAAGCCUGAUCCAGCCAUGCCGCGUGCAGGAUGACGGUCCUAUGGAUUGUAAACUGCUUUUGCACAGGAAGAAACAACAUUACGUGUAAUGUCUUGACGGUACUGUGAGAAUAAGGAUCGGCUAACUCCGUGCCAGCAGCCGCGGUAAUACGGAGGAUCCAAGCGUUAUCCGGAAUCAUUGGGUUUAAAAGGGUCCGUAGGCGGUUUAGUAAGUCAGUGGUGAAAGCCCAUCGCUCAACGGUGGAACGGCCAUUGAUACUGCUAGACUUGAAUUAUUAGGAAGUAACUAGAAUAUGUAGUGUAGCGGUGAAAUGCUUAGAGAUUACAUGGAAUACCAAUUGCGAAGGCAGGCUACUACUAAUGGAUUGACGCUGAUGGACGAAAGCGUGGGUAGCGAACAGGAUUAGAUACCCUGGUAGUCCACGCCGUAAACGAUGGAUACCAGCUGUUGGGAGCAAUCUCAGUGGCUAAGCGAAAGUGAUAAGUAUCCCACCUGGGGAGUACGUUCGCAAGAAUGAAACUUAAAUGAAUUGACGGGGAUCAUAGCU
rnacentral:rRNA from 1 species